rnacentral:lncRNA from 1 species
GACUGGUGUCGCUAGUUCUAGACAUGCUUCGUGACGAGCGUCGGCUACUUUCCUCCCCUCCUGAGGACGACUGUCGUGAGAGCCUUCCCUCUUCUCUCCACGAGUCGUUUGCUGUCCGCAGCGCGUGACCAUUCCCUCCCAAAUGGCCGCCUGUUGCAUGCGUUUCCGAGACCGGAGACGGCACGAAUCCGGAAAUCCACUGUCUGUUGCCCCCAUCUUCUCCGUCUCGAGAACGAACUUUCUCAGGCGUGUCCAAAGAAAAGGUGACUUUCUUCGACAUGCGCCGCACAAACCCUCGCAGGCCCGACGCCCGAGGCUGGCGCUGUCGCACGGCCACGCGCACUUCCAGCUGCUCCUCCGUCCAGCCUUGGAGUCGGCCGUCGUCAGUACUGGCUCGGCGCCACAGUGGGCGGCUCUGCUCGCUGAGAGCCGGCUGCAUGCCACGCGAGGCGAGGACGCUCGCGGGCGGCAGCGCCAUGAUAACGUUAUCGCCUUUCCAUGUCCACUGGUGCGGGCAUCCAGCACGGAUCCUCCUCGCUCCAACGGUGUCAAAAGAUGCUUUCACGAGGGGAGGCAAUAUUUCCGGCGACAACAGCUGUACACGUUGACUUGAGCUCAGGGGAGAUUCUGCGCCCACAGACGCCUGAUGCGCACACGCGCAGGAUGAUGAAUUCCCACUACAACACCACAUCCUGAAGGCGUCGUACGCUUGUGACCGGACAAGCGUCGGCUUCAGCUUCCUCCGCUCUAGCCACAUAAAGAGAUUCAUGUGACCAUGCUCCCUGCGGCAGUCCAUUGCCUCAAGAGUCGGCGCUCCCGCCGUCACCGUAGACUCUUUCGCGGCUGCGGUGUACAGAUUAAUGAUCGCGCGAGACGCCAAAUCGACUGAGGCGGAAGAAAACGGCGCCGGCAGACAACCGGUGGACACCUCUCGCCCGCUUGACUUUCCUGCGGACUUCAGAGGCCAGUCACAAACGGAUUCCUUCUUCAGCACGCGCGGGCUGGCACCUGAGGUGCACGUCGCCGAAUCCUGUCUAUUGGUGCAUCCUGCCUCUGCCUCGGCGUCACUGUCAUCUUCGUUCUCAACGGCGAAUUUAGAGCCGCCCGGGGCCAAGGCGCCAGAGACAAGGCGCAAGGAAACCGUUGCGGAGCUGGAUGUCGCACUUCGCCUGGGGAAUGUCUCUGCCGGGGAAGACCUGCAUCCAGGGGUAUUCCGGCAUGCGGGUCCCGAGAAGCCACCAACCCCGGCUCGCACCGGACACAUCCCAUCUUGUGUCCAGUCACGUGAAUCAGGAGAAUGGCGAGGGACCGCCGGGAUUUGAAGCCCUCCUCGAGUCUGCGCCAGAGUAGAUCCAUGAGAUCCAGAAGGCUCAUAGGGCGCCUGGAGAUUAUGGCGCAUUCUAUCCGGAGGGGAAGGAUUCAGGUGGCAGGGACGAUUGACUGAAAGCAGUAUCCCAUCUUGUCGGUCAUGGAGAGCAGGCAUGCCGGACGAGCGUAGCGCCGAAAUUCCCUCGAAAGCCAGGGCUUUUGUUGAAUCACAACUUAUCUCGCUUCUCGUAAAGCCCGUAACCCAGCUAGCGAGGCCGGCAACGGUGCCAGGCAUAUCUUCCGAAGCCCGUGGCAUGUGGGAGCCUCCUGUGGAAUCCAAGUGCAAUAUGCACUACUUCGUUCCCAGCGUAAAUGUUUGCAAGGGACAUGAAGAGCAAGUUGCGACUUUGUGGUACGACGUGAGAGCCUCUAUAGUCGAAAGCGUCAUUAAACACACAUCAGUUUCUUCGCCAGUGCCCCAACCUGUCGAUUUUUGGCACACUCUGUCCAGCAGUUUCUAACUCGGAUACUGUUCAUGAGACCAGGCUAUGGGUUGAGCCAUGGCCAAACCUCGGCGUUGUGGAAUGACAUACUGGACGAAGGAAGACCGACGGAUGGAUGAGAAUCGGCAGGGAGCCACGAUGUCCAGAAGUCAGAGAGACGAUGAAACGGUUCUACUGCAUGCGGGACUGGCGAGAAACCCCGAUGAGCUACACUUUGAAGUGGCCAACAGCUGGAAGCGUAGGUACACCUGGGAGUGGACCCAACCCAAUACGGUUGCCCCAAUCACAACUCGCCUGGAGAGCGGACGGCAGGUGCAUGCGGCCUGGAUAUUCUGCGUCUCGGCUGCAAGAGGAAAGCCGAUGUGACUCGAGUUAAGGGCUUGUCUUUCCUCCGAAGAAAAGAGAGCAACGGAACACGCAAGUCUGACUCUCCCCGGACGUGGACCCCCACGAUCCCGCGCUCCUUCGUCCCCGUGAAGAGCCGGUAGGCCGGCGUGAAGGAGAGACCCCACAGCUUUCACUCCGGCACAAAACUCCCGCAAUAUCCGUAGAACGGAAGUACGCCUGAAAUAGUGGUUCGUUGCUAAAACAAACACGAAGCGGGGAAACCCUGCCUGACACCCAGGAGCCCGCGAUGGGCAACCCGUUCCCCAACGGCAAAACCACAACCGUGCGGAGAUGCAGGUGGCAUGCGAGACAGGCUAGGACGAUGUAUUUCUUCGAAUUCGACUCCAAAAAGAGGAGUUCAACACCCUGGCGAAACGAAGAACACACGUUUGCGUAGUUCGGAGAGUCAGCAGGGAGGAAAAGCGCGACGCUGCCACCAGCAGGUGAACGGGCAGGCGGUCCAGUCGGAUGGACAGUAUGGGCACGCUCGGCGGCGUCCCCGCGAGUUUCGUGUCAGGCGCCACCGGGAUGGCCUCCGCACUGUGCAUGUGGAAGACUCUCUGUGGCACACGGUUGCGUUGUUACUCAAGGCUAUCGGCCAGUAUAAAAUGUUUCGGAACUUGCAAAAGGUUGACAGAAAAUGCGGAGGAGCGCACAUCGCGAAGCCGAAGGGAAAAAGGAACAGCCGCGCACGCACUGCCCCCGUCGUCGCCUCGAAGGACAAUGUUUCCCGUCACUCAAUUUCUUGAACCACACAAACAACAAAAUGGGCCGCCAGCCUGUUGAACAAUAAUAACCGUUCACUGUCAUCGCAGUAAUCUUACGCCGUUGCGUAUUCUAUGAUGAGUUCCGGAUGAUCAUGGACAACAGAGGCUCCACAGGCAUAUCUCGGAGUACGUGUGUGUAGCGCCUAUAGGAAAGUUGUGCCGAGGGGCAAAGACAGAGUCCGCAGAUUUCUGUCAUCGCUAAAUUAGAAGACUGUGCCAGGAUUAUACGCCGAACAAUCAGAAUUUCCA